rnacentral:tRNA from 1 species
ACCUGGUUGGCUCAGUCAGUAGAGCAUGCGACUCCUAAUCCUGGGGUCAUGAGUUCAAGCCCCACUCUGGGUG